AUCCAGUGAAAAUGAUAUGGUAACCGAAGAUGAGCAGUUUGACGAAAGAGCAUUCGACAAUGACGAUGAUGGAGACGACGUUAGUGACGAAGAUGACGUAAGCGCAGUAGAAAAGUCAGCUGACCCCUUUCGCUUUGGACGCUUUACACGCAGAGUAAGGCGUAGAGUCAGACGUCUUAUUCGUCGUCCUCGUCCAAUUCGUCGUGUUCGUCGUAUAAUUCGUCGUGUUCGUCGUCCACUUCGUCGUGUAUUUCGUCGUCGUUUUCGCGGUUAACGAAGACCAUUUAAGUGAAGGCCUUGAUGAAUGCUAACCGUCAAAAUGCAUGAAUGGAGAACUUGGGACAGCGAUAAAACAGCUCUUUACGCUAAAGAAUAUUGUGAUACUUCUAGAAUGCAAAAGUCCAGCUGCUGUCAAAAUAUAAUUGAAGGGAAAUAAUAGCCGACGAAAAAAUUGUGAUUUGCUUUAAGCUCGCGUGGAUUUGAUAAAAAUAAACCAAGUUCACAAAUACCUG